UACGAAGGGGGCUAGCGUUGCUCGGAAUUACUGGGCGUAAAGCGCACGUAGGCGGAUUGUUAAGUCGGGGGUGAAAUCCUGGAGCUCAACUCCAGAACUGCCUUCGAUACUGGCGGUCUCGAGUCCGGGAGAGGUGAGUGGAACUGCGAGUGUAGAGGUGAAAUUCGUAGAUAUUCGCAAGAACACCAGUGGCGAAGGCGGCUCACUGGCCCGGUACUGACGCUGAGGUGCGAAAGCGUGGGGAGCAAACAGGG
rnacentral:rRNA from 1 species